UACGAAGGGGGCUAGCGUUGUUCGGAUUUACUGGGCGUAAAGGGCGCGUAGGCGGAUUUUUAAGUCAGGGGUGAAAUCCCAAGGCUCAACCUUGGAGCUGCCUUUGAUACUGGGAAUCUUGAGUCCGGGAGAGGUGAGUGGAACUGCGAGUGUAGAGGUGAAAUUCGUAGAUAUUCGCAAGAACACCAGUGGCGAAGGCGGCUCACUGGCCCGGAACUGACGCUCAUGCACGAAAGCGUGGGGAGCAAACAGG
rnacentral:rRNA from 1 species